rnacentral:rRNA from 1 species
UACGUGGGUGGCAAGCGUUGUCCGGAAUCACUGGGCUUAAAGGGUGCGUAGGCGGACCAGAAAGUGCUUUGUGAAAGCCCCCGGCUCAACCGGGGAACUGCGGGGCAUACUGCUGGUCUUGAGGCAAGUAAGGGUUGCGAGAACUGUAGGUGGAGCGGUGAAAUGCGUAGAUAUCUACAGGAAUGCCGAUGGUGAAGACGCGCAACUGGGCUUGUCCUGACGCUGAGGCACGAAAGCGUGGGGAGCAAACAGG